rnacentral:rRNA from 1 species
GAUGAACGCUAGCGACAGGCCUAACACAUGCAAGUCGAGGGGCAGCACAUGAGUAGCAAUACGAUGGUGGCGACCGGCGCACGGGUGAGUAACACGUAUGCAACCUGCCUUCUACUAUGGGAUAACCCGUUGAAAGACGGACUAAUACCGUAUAAUACAGGGGCUCCGCAUGGAGAUAUUUGUUAAAGAUUUAUUGGUAGAAGAUGGGCAUGCGUAUGAUUAGAUAGUUGGUGAGGUAACGGCUCACCAAGUCAACGAUCAUUAGGGGUUCUGAGAGGAAGGUCCACCACACUGGUACUGAGACACGGACCAGACUCCUACGGGAGGCAGCAGUGAGGAAUAUUGGUCAAUGAACGAGAGUCUGAACCAGCCAAGUCGCGUGAAGGAAGACGGUUCUAUGAAUUGUAAACUUCUUUUGUGCAGGAAUAAAGUGGGUUACGUGUAACCUUUUGUAUGUACUGUACGAAUAAGGAUCGGCUAACUCCGUGCCAGCCGCCGCGGUAA